rnacentral:rRNA from 1 species
AUUGAACGCUGGCGGCAGGCCUAACACAUGCAAGUCGAACGAGUGGCGGACGGGUGAGUAAUGUCUGGGAAACUGCCCGAUGGAGGGGGAUAACUACUGGAAACGGUAGCUAAUACCGCAUACCAUCGGAUGUGCCCAGCUGGGAGUAGCUUGUAGGUGGGGUAACGGCUCACCUGGGCGACGAUCCCUAGCUGGUCUGAGAGGAUGACCAGCCACAGUGGAAAUGGGAAACGGUCCAGCAUCCUACGGGAGGCAGCAGUGGGGAAUAUGGUACAAUGGGGUCAAUCCUGAGGCAGCCAUGCCGCGUGGAUGAAGAAGGUGUUCGGGUUGUAAAUUACUGUCAGCGGGGAGGCGUUACCCGCAGAAGAAGCACCGGCGAACUCCGUGCCAGAAGCCGCGGUAAUAC